rnacentral:rRNA from 1 species
AGUGAACGCUGGCGGUAGGCCUAACACAUGCAAGUCGAACGGCAGCACAGUAAGAGCUUGCUCUUACGGGUGGCGAGUGGCGGACGGGUGAGGAGUACAUCGGAAUCUACUUUUUCGUGGGGGAUAACGUAGGGAAACUUACGCUAAUACCGCAUACGACCUACGGGUGAAAGCAGGGGAUCUUCGGACCUUGCGCGAUUGAAUGAGCCGAUGUCGGAUUAGCUAGUUGGCGGGGUAAAGGCCCACCAAGGCGAGGAUCCGUAGCUGGUCUGAGAGGAUGAUCAGCCACACUGGAACGGAGACACGGUCCAGACUCCUACGGGAGGCAGCAGUGGGGAAUAUUGGACAAUGGGCGCAAGCCUGAUCCAGCCAUACCGCGUGGGUGAAGAAGGCCUUCGGGUUGUAAAGCCCUUUUGUUGGGAAAGAAAAGCAGCAGGUUAAUACCCCGCUGUUCUGACGGUACCCAAAGAAUAAGCACCGGCUAACUUCGUG